rnacentral:rRNA from 1 species
GGCUUAACACAUGCAAGUCGAGCGGGCGUAGCAAUACGUCAGCGGCAGACGGGUGAGUAACGCGUGGGAACGUACCUUUUGGUUCGGAACAACACAGGGAAACUUGCGCUAAUACCGGAUAAGCCCUUACGGGGAAAGAUUUAUCGCCGAAAGAUCGGCCCGCGUCUGAUUAGCUAGUUGGUGAGGUAACGGCUCACCAAGGCGACGAUCAGUAGCUGGUCUGAGAGGAUGAUCAGCCACAUUGGGACUGAGACACGGCCCAAACUCCUACGGGAGGCAGCAGUGGGGAAUAUUGGACAAUGGGCGCAAGCCUGAUCCAGCCAUGCCGCGUGAGUGAUGAAGGCCCUAGGGUUGUAAAGCUCUUUUGUGCGGGAAGAUAAUGACGGUACCGCAAGAAUAAGC